rnacentral:rRNA from 1 species
GACAGAGGUGCCAAGCGUUAGGCGGAAUCACUGGGCUUAAAGCGUGUGUAGGCGGAUCGUUAAGUACCUUGUGAAAUCCCACGGCUCAACCGUGGAACUGCUGGGUAUACUGGCGAUCUUGAGCCACCUAGGGGCGAGCGGAACAAGCGGUGGAGCGGUGAAAUGCGUAGAUAUCGUAAGGAAGACCAGUGGCGAAGGCGGCUCACUGGACCGGAACUGACGCUGAGGCGCGAAAGCGUGGGGAGCAAACAGG